CCUACGGGGGGCUGCAGUGAGGAAUAUUGGUCAAUGGGCGCGAGCCUGAACCAGCCAAGUCGCGUGAGGGAAGACGGUCCUAUGGAUUGUAAACCUCUUUUGUCGGGGAGCAAAAGACGCCACGCGUGGCGUUCCGAGAGUACCCUAAGAAAAAGCAUCGGCAAAACCCGGGCCAGCAGCCGCGGUAAUACGGGGGAUGCGAGCGUUAUCCGGAUUUAUUGGGUUUAAGGGGUGCGCAGGGGGAAGAUCAAGUCAGCGGGAAUAUUGAGAGGCCAAACCUCUUCGAGCCGUUGAAACUGGUUUUCUUGAGGGAGCGAGAGGUAGGUGGAAUGCGUGGUGUAGCGGUGAAAUGCAUAGAGAUCACGAAGAACUCCGAUUGCGAAGGCAGCAUACCGGAGCUAAACUGACGCUCAUGCACGAAAGUGUGGGUAUCGAACAGGAUUAGAUACCCGAGUAGUC
rnacentral:rRNA from 1 species